CCCCUUUGAGUCACCAGUUACUAAACUUGGCGAACUCCAGCUGCUUCAUAUCUCAGCUGUAACGAGAACCAGUAGGAAUGUGCAGCAGUGUCAAUGCUCGCAGCAGCUAGCCAGCUGCUCCGACAAUGAUCUCUGGCCCCUCUUUCAUCGACAACAAGCUCAUUACCCAAAAAACCUCUUGACCGGGGCUGACAAACGUAAGGGCAACAGUCAGCAGAAACAAUCCUAGAGGGAAGUUAAAGGUCCGACCUGGAUUGUUCUGGGUUUGAAGGACCACCACGGUGAGAUCUUGAGACUCCAGCGCACUAAAUGAGAAAAGAUUGGGAUCCUCGUCACUUAGCACUGUUUGAUGCUGAGUUCAGGGCCAGCCUUCCUCAAGAGCUCCAGCCUCAUUAGCAAUCUGUAUUUCAGAGAUUUACCCACUGACACAGAGACCGACAGCUGCUCCAGAGGAAAGCCAGCAGGCAAGAGUUGCUGUCUUGGUAAUGUGGUGCUUCCUAAACUCAUCCAUUUACAAAGCAGGGAUUUCUCUUCAUACUGAGAUUCUGUUAUCCAGUGGAAGUGUGCUACAUGCUUCUUUCACUGCCAAACCAGAGAUAAAUUGGCUCAGACCUUUCAGCUACUCUAUGUAAUGAAUCAGCCUUGCUAAUGUUGCUCUUCACACAGCUGCUAACCUCAUAAAAAAGUCAAUUUUCUGUUGCCAAUGAUCACGCAUAUGAAAAACUGGGGACAUUUUAGUGGUCUCUUCCUGCCUCUCUUUGAGUCAUUUAAAAAGAUCUAAAUGAGACUGAAUGGAGAAAUGAAUGCACCUUUUUAUUUCUUUGAAAAACAGUUUAAUCAGAUAGAAACUAACAGCUGAUGGCACUACCAUGCCAAAUCAGGCUGCUAUCAGGUUCAAGGUGCAGCGGGAGCUUUCUCUCCUCAAUGUCUUUUACACGAGGAGCCCGUGAAGUCAUCGCAGCUGCUGCGGCUCUCCCAUAGAGGCCGAGUGAAAGGUCGUCCCUCCAGCUGAGGGCUGUAAAUUCAAGACGUAAAAUGGGAAAGACGUACGCUCCACUCAACAGGUGCAGAUCUGGAAUGAAUGGUCACCCCUUUUUUUCCCCCUCUAAAGGAGCGAGAACAAAGAGGAGUGAGACAGGAGCAUUCAGACUGGAGAACUUAUGAUGGUAAAAUGGCCUUAGUUAAAACACAGAUCGUCCUUGAUGAAACCUCUGCAAAUUAAAGUACUAGGACACAGA